UUGAUUUCAUGCCACUGCGUGAUUUAAUGGGAUGACGCAGUUUAGCUGAAGGGUGAAGUUUUAUCAAAUGCCAAAAGUUUAAAAGAUCAUUGCCAGCAGGUUCUUGAAAUACUGCUAGUUCCGAAAUCAGUGGAGAGUGAAGAUCGAAGAUCGAGGAGGAUCUACUUCGACGGUGAAACGGGUUCGACCUUAUUUAAUCCUUAUUCGAAAGGAUUUCGUGGACUGUUCACGUGUUAAUCUCUGCGGGAAAGCAGGAGAUUGAGGACAGUGCGAUAAAGGAAAGAACCCCUUGCCGAACUCAUAUAUUCAUUGUUGCCGGAAUAUGUAACAGGAUGACAUCAGCUUUUCUGUCAAUGCAGAAGCAUCUCACCCACUUCCACGUAGCAAAUCAGUGGUCAGCACUUUACACCACUUAAUAUCUUUGAAUCCAAACCCCAGCUCCUGAAGGGAAAAAGGAAAAUAUGUGCGAAAGUCUGAGAUGCAUAUUCCCACAUAGCUGUCCAGAACACAGCAGGUAACCGUUUGAAUGAAGGUUCCCAGCCCGAGCUGUCGACUGGUUGCUGAGUUCCUCCAACAUUCUCUGUGUGUUUGCUUCUGUUUGUUUAUUGAUUAAAAUAAUCAGACUGGUUCAGUGGAAGAGGAAUUUGUGGAAUGGUCAGAGACAGUUUCAUACAGUAGUUUAUUUACCCAGGAACAUGCCAUUUCAGUUGUAAUCUGUGUAAAGAGGUGGUAUUACAGAGAGUUCUUGCGGUGAAGGAUCCUGAAUAUGAGCAGUGGCAGAUGUUUAAGGAGAAGGUUCGUUAGAGCCGACAUUUAUCCCGAUCAGACAGAGGAAUCACAGGGAGCAAACAACAGUCUGUGGUUAAAAGAGUUCAAGGUAAAUAUUAACUCAGAGAACAAACAAAGAGGCAAAGACAGGGUGGACAAAACAGUCGGGAUUUUUCCAGUAACUCAUGAUGCGACAAAAGAUAAAAAUAUCAAGGAAAAACAGAUUAGUUAACUCAAUAAUUUCCAUUAGUGUUUUCAGUGGGGACACAGCAAACAUCCUACAGAUAUCUAACGGUGACAUUUCAAUGCUGUGCCAUAAUGUGUAGCAAUCACCAUCAGGGGUGAUAAACUAAUGGGACUAAAAGCAAAAAUAUCCAGUUCCCAACGACCUGCACCAGACGGUUUCACAGGAAGGCUGGAGAGAAAGUAGAGACAUUGGAAUCUGUCAAAAAUCACUGUUACAGAAAGGUCCCAGUGGAGCUGAAAACCAUUGCUGAAGGGUGGAAGAGAAAGGAAAACAAAGUAGGUAACUGUACUGGAGUCUAUAAUCUGUGAAGAAAUGACAAGUCAUUUAGAAAAGUUUAAUGUCAUUGAACUAAACCAAGAGGGUUUACAGUCAGAUUCACACAGCACAGAAACAAGUCUUCAGCUCAAAUGGUCCACACUGACCAAAAUUCCCAUCUGAGCUUCUGGUCUGUAACCGCCUCACAACGAUAUUAUGAACAAUG